rnacentral:rRNA from 1 species
GAUGAACGCUAGCGGCAGGCCUAACACAUGCAAGUCGAGGGAGAAGCCCUUUCGGGGGCAGAAACCGGCGCACGGGUGCGUAACGCGUAUGCAACCUACCUUUCACAGGGGGAUAGCCCGAAGAAAUUUGGAUUAAUACCCCAUAAUAUUAUUGGAUGGCAUCAUUUGAUAAUUAAAACUGCGGUGGUGAAGGAUGGGCAUGCGUCCUAUUAGCUAGUUGGAGUGGUAACGGCACCCCAAGGCUACGAUAGGUAGGGGUCCUGAGAGGGAGAUCCCCCACACUGGUACUGAGACAGGGACCAGACUCCUACGGGAGGCAGCAGUGAGGAAUAUUGGUCAAUGGUCGGAAGACUGAACCAGCCAUGCCGCGUGCAGGAAGAAUGCCUUAUGGGUUGUAAACUGCUUUUAUAUGGGAAGAAUAAGGUGUACGUGUACAUUGAUGACGGUACCAGAUGAAUAAGCAUCGGCUAACUCCGUG